GACGAACGCUGGCGGCGUGCCUAAUACAUGCAAGUAGAACGCUGAAGGAGGAGCUUGCUUCUCUGGAUGAGUUGCGAACGGGUGAGUAACGCGUAGGUAACCUGCCUGGUAGCGGGGGAUAACUAUUGGAAACGAUAGCUAAUACCGCAUAAGAGUAGAUGUCGCAUGACAUUUGCUUAAAAGGUGCAAUUGCAUCACUACCAGAUGGACCUGCGUUGUAUUAGCUAGUUGGUGAGGUAACGGCUCACCAAGGCAACGAUACAUAGCCGACCUGAGAGGGUGGUCGGCCACCCUGGGACUGAGACACGGCCCAGACUCCUACGGGAGGGAGCAGUAGGGAAUCUUCGGCAAUGGACGGAAGUCUGACCGAGCAACGCCGCGUGAGUGAAGAAGGGUUUCGGAUCGUAAAGCUCUGUUGUAAGAGAAGAACGAGUGUGAGAGUGGAAAGUUCACACUGUGACGGUAUCUUAUCAGAAAGGGACGGCUAACUACGUG
rnacentral:rRNA from 1 species